ACGCUGACAGAAUGCUUAACACAUGCAAGUCGAUGAUGGGAGCUAGCUUGCUAGAAGAAGUCAUGGCGGACGGGUGAGUAACGUGUAAAGAACUUACCAUAUAGACUGGGAUAACAGAGGGAAACUUCUGAUAAUACUGGAUAAGUUAGUAGUAGCAUUACUAAGUAAUGAAAGGUAGUAAUACGCUAUAUGAGAGCUUUGCAUCCUAUUAGCUAGUUGGUGGGGUAAAAGCCUACCAAGGCGAUGAUAGGUAGCCGGCCUGAGAGGGUGGACGGCCACAAGGGGACUGAGAUACAGCCCUUACUCCUACGGGAGGCAGCAGUGGGGAAUAUUGGACAAUGGAGGCAACUCUGAUCCAGCAAUUCUGUGUGUGUGAAGAAGGUUUUAGGACUGUAAAACACUUUUAGUAGGGAAGAAAGAAAUGACGGUACCUACAGAAGAAGCGACGGCUAAAUACGUGCCAGCAGCCGCGGUAAUACGUAUGUCGCGAGCGUUAUCCGGAAUUAUUGGGCUUAAAGGGCAUCUAGGCGGUUAAACAAGUUGAAGGUGAAAACCUGUGGCUCAACCAUAGGCUUGCCUACAAAACUGUAUAACUAGAGUACUGGAAAGGUGGGUGGAACUACACGAGUAGAGGUGAAAUUCGUAGAUAUGUGUAGGAAUGCCGAUGAUGAAGAUAACUCACUGGACAGCAACUGACGCUGAAGUGCGAAAGCUAGGG
rnacentral:rRNA from 1 species